GACGAACGCUGGCGGCGGGCUUAACACAUGCAAGUCGAACGGAAAGGCCCUGCUUUUGUGGGGUGCUCGAGUGGCGAACGGGUGAGUAACACGUGAGUAACCUGCCCUUGACUUUGGGAUAACUUCAGGAAACUGGGGCUAAUACCGGAUAGGAGCUCCUGCUGCAUGGUGGGGGUUGGAAAGUUUCGGCGGUUGGGGAUGGACUCGCGGCUUAUCAGCUUGUUGGUGGGGUAGUGGCUUACCAAGGCUUUGACGGGUAGCCGGCCUGAGAGGGUGACCGGCCACAUUGCGACUGCGGUACGGCCCAGACUGCUACGGGAGGCAGUAGUGGGGAAUAUUGCACAAUGGGAGGAAGUCUGAUGCAGCAACGUCGCGUGCGGGAUGACGGCCUUCGGGGUGUAAACCGCUUUCGCCUGUGACGAAGCGUGAGUGACGGUAAUGGGUGAAGAAGCACCGGCUAACUACGUG
rnacentral:rRNA from 1 species